CACACCCGGUGUAGAAACCAGAAUCCUGGCGGGAUCCUCCACUUUGCACCUAGGUGCUCCUUCCCGACUCUUGGCCCUUCAAUCUUGGACUGGAACCAAAUCUCCCAGUCCUCGAGGAAUCUGCAUCCAGGGGAAGAUCGCGAGCCGGGUCACCGCUCACCCCUUCUCUGGGACCCAGGGCGCUGCUGAGUCAGCGUAACCCGAGCAGCCCAGUGACCGCGAAGCCCCCGCCCCCGGCUUGCGCCCCGCCCAGAUAGAGGGCCAGCCCCGUGGCCGAGCACAAGUGCACGAGUGCGACAGCUAGGCCAGGCGACAGCGCUGCCUACCAGAGCGCAGCAUGACGGCCAUCGGCGCGCAGGCCCACAAGCUGUUGGGCCUUAAGAGGCCCCACCGGUCUUUCUUUGAGUCCUUCAUCCGGACACUCAUCAUCGUGUGCACUGCCCUGGCUGUGGUCCUUUCUUCAGUCUCCAUCUGCGAUGGCCACUGGCUCCUAGUGGAGGAUCAUCUCUUUGGGCUGUGGUACUUCUGCACCAUCGGCAACCACAGUGAACCACACUGUCUGAGAGACCUGAGCCAGGCCCAUAUGCCCGGGCUGGCUGUAGGCAUGGGCCUAGCACGCAGUGUGGCCGCCAUGGCAGUGGUGGCUGCCAUCUUCGGCUUGGAGAUGCUCAUUGUGUCCCAGGUGUGUGAAGAUGUCCGCUCACGGCGCAAGUGGGCCAUCGGUUCCUACCUCCUCCUGGUUGCCUUUAUCCUCUCCUCUGGGGGCCUCCUCACCUUCAUCAUCCUGCUCAAGAAUCAGAUCAACCUCCUGGGCUUCACCCUGAUGUUCUGGUGUGAAUUCACUGCCUCCUUCCUCUUCUUCCUCAAUGCCGCCAGCGGCCUUCACAUCAACAGCCUCACUCAGCCCUGGGACCCUCCAGCAGGGACCCUGGCUUACAGAAAGCGAGGUUAUGAUGGGACUUCUCUGAUAUAGGACCUCUGGCUGAGAUUGAAUAGGACAACCAAUGACCUUGACACUGCCUCUUAGGCACUUAGCUCUAGCAAAGGCAGAAGGGUGCCUCUGUACGACGGCACAGUGAGCUGGAUAGGUUAGUCAUGCUAUUAAAAUCUCAAUUUGAAAGUAAGGAGAGUAUCCUAAAA